UAGGAUGGUACUUUAGAACCUCCCGCCACGUAACAAGGACAUCUUGGAACAAGAGACGUCGAGUGGCUCGUGCCAUCCGGGGGUGGAUAUCAGUAGCAAAGCGAUCGUUGUGUGUACUAUUGCAAGAUCUAUAGCGGAUCUCCACAUUUAGGAUACAGACCACAAUGCUUUAGAUGUGUCUUUAAAAAAGAGAAAAAUCAGAGACUUUUUGGAUUUGUCUAGGACCAUUUUAAACAUUUUGUAGCAACUUGGAUUUUACACAUUA